rnacentral:tRNA from 1 species
GGUGGGGUUCCCGAGCGGCCAAAGGGAGCAGACUGUAAAUCUGCCGUCAUCGACUUCGAAGGUUCGAAU